rnacentral:rRNA from 1 species
UACGUAGGGUGCGAGCGUUGUCCGGAUUUAUUGGGCGUAAAGAGCUCGUAGGCGGUUUGUCGCGUCGGCCGUGAAAUCUCCACGCUUAACGUGGAGCGUGCGGUCGAUACGGGCAGACUUGAGUUCGGUAGGGGAGUGUGGAAUUCCUGGUGUAGCGGUGAAAUGCGUAGAUAUCAGUCGGAACACCGGUGGCGAAGGCGGCUUCUUGGGCCGAGAUUGACGCUGGAGGCGCGGAAAGCUUGGGGGAGCGAACGGG